UGACAAGCCGGAGGAAGGUGGGGAUGACGUCAAGUCCUCAUGGCCCUUAUGGGCUGGGCUACACACGUGCUACAAUGGCGGUGACAGUGGGUUGCGACCCCGCAAGGGUAAGCUAAUCCUAAAAAGUCGUCUCAAUUCGGAUUGCUCUCUGCAACUCGAGAGCAUGAAGUCGGAAUCGCUAGUAAUCGCGUAUCAGCAUGACGCGGUGAAUACGUUCCCGGGCCUUGUACACACCGCCCGUCACACCAUGGGAGUUGGUUUUACCUGAAGACGGUGCGCUAACCCGCAAGGGGGGCAGCCGGCCACGGUAAGGUCAGCGACUGGGGUGAAGUCGUAACAAGGUAGCCGUAGGGGAACCUGCGGCUG
rnacentral:rRNA from 1 species